UCGGCGUAUACUUUUCUUUAUGAUUUACAAUCAAGAAGAUUAAGACAAUUUACUCAUCUUAUUCAUGAUUAGAUUAUGGCAAAAAGUAGGCAAAAAUAACUUUUUAUGAAAUAACACACGGUUGUUGCGUGCGCUCAUUUUAUUUGUUUGUUCAUUUUUUGCCGAAUCAUUGUUGCAAUAACAUCUCCCUUCAAUAUAGGAUGUAUACAUUUCCGCCUAUAUUUGUGCAAUAUAAUAUUAAUAUUACUAGUGAGAUUGAUACACAAAAUUAUACUAAUGCUAGGAUUGUAAUUAAAGGAGGCCAUGAAAUUUAGAGUUACCUUCCGAUUGACAAAAAAUAUUUUAUACAACAUGUGCUAUUAUAAUCCUAAAUCCCGAGUCAAACGACUCUCAAUGACCUCGUCCCACAUCAAUAACAUAAAUAUAUGUAAACAAUAUCUGAUUAUUGAUGAUAUUGGCAACUGAAACUUACUUUUCACUAAAUUUCCAUUGUCUCCGAAAUAGAAUAUUCGAAAACCAAAUAGAAAGGAGCAAGAACAACACCUUGAAUGGUCUCAAGGGUGGCUUAGAUUCAAAUGUUGUGCAUGGAAUUUGUCUAACAUCAGUUUCUUCGUGAAGGCUUGGGUAUGCUCCAUGGUUUCUAACAUCUUGAUGUUCCAUUUAUUUUAAUAAUCUUAAUUCUAACAUAUAAGACGAAGAAAGGAGUCCUGUUUAAAUACAAGUAAUUUGACAUAGAAGAUAAGAAGAAGACAUAUUAUAUUUCUACUCAUA
rnacentral:lncRNA from 1 species